rnacentral:tRNA from 1 species
UGGCCGGCUGGCCGGUGGACGGCGUGCACCUGACAGGCGCGCGCCUGGCCGCGUUGACGGAGCGGCCUGCGUUCGACUGGGUGGGCGCGUCGA